GGUGUCAACUUUUGACAAUAAGGCUAAAUCAUUGAAAAUAAGGAAUUUUCAUCAAACCUUAUCACUUUGCACGACCAUUAUUCUGAAAAACAGAGAGAAAAGAAAACCAAAAACCAUUUCUUGGCUGGUUUGAAGAAAUUCUAAGGAGAUCCAAGUGAAAGCAAAGCCAAAGAAGUAGAUUAAGCUUAGUUCUAGCCUUUUUAUGAUAUUUCUUGGGGUUUCCAAGUGGUUUGAGGUUUAUAAAAGCUUGAAGAGAUUGUUUUCGCCGAAAAGUUGCUCGGAUAAGCACAUCAAUACCUAAGACAUCACUUGUUACACGGUGAAAUAUAUUGUGGACAAAAGGUAAGUAAAGUACUCAACUACAACACAAGAAUUAUGUGUUAUGUGAAAGUAUGCAUUAUAUGAAUAUUUUGUGAGUAAGUGGUAUUAACAUACAGUGACACUUCAUCAUAAAUUUGUAUGCAUGGCAUAAUAGUGAUAUGGUAAAUUAUUAUAUGAUAUAAGACCAUGCAUGAUAUUAUGAUGAUUAAUUAUAUAAUGCCUUUGCAAGUUUUGUGCAACAUAAAAGAAAGUUGUAAUAAGAAGUUUAAGUUCAGUGCCACUGUUUUGAAAAGGCAAAUGAAAGUGUUAAUAAGUGUAAACGGAUGCCUAUAGUAGGCUUAUAGUGGCUGCCCAAUAAUUUGGGCUAGGUUUAGUGAACCAAUUAUAUUGUUUGCCAUAUUUCCGUUUUUAUUCUCCUCCAUAUGAGUUAUUGUUAUAUGUAUUGACAUCACAGUGUGUGGCCGCCUUAACUCUUGAGCCUGACGGGGCAACGAUGGAAUAAGGAUUUUAAUGUGCCCUACUGUGGUGAAGGCUAGCCGGAGGAGAACCCAUGGGAUUUUGUAUUAUAUGUGUAACAAGCCCUGCAGGCAUUGACCAAUUCAAACAGUGUGCACAAUAUUAAGGGGCCCAAAAUUUAAAAAAAAAGAAGUUGUAUAUGUCCAUUGAUAUUGGGUAAUCAUUAGCAUUGCAUGCAUUACUUUGCUUACUGAGCUUUAGGCUCACAGUUGUCUUGUGUUGCAGGUAGAGAAAGAAAUAUGUGAAUGAUAUGAGGAGAACUGAAGCAUGGUCCUGACCCUGAUUUGUACAUAUGAACACAUCGACCUUUUUGUGGGUUAUUUCAGUUAUCAGUGAGAUGUUUGUAAUAAAGUGUGAAGUUAUGUUUUGAAAAUAAAUUGGGUUAUUUAAUACUUAUGUAUAAUAUGUUUGAGACACACUUUAUGUUUAAUGUAAAUAAGGUGAAAUAAGUUUUCAAGUUAAAAAAAAAAAAAAAAAAAAAAAAAAAAUGUCCAGACUUCCGCAGAAAUAAAUUAUGAUAUAGUUUUAAAACGUAACACCUCAAAUAUGGUUUUUAACUAAAAUAAGUGAGGGUGUUACAAUGACCGUUGGUGAAUAGUGAUCUG